CUGUCCAAGGAAGUCCUCAUUCAAGUUGCAUCGCUUAAAACGUCGCAUGCCAUAUGGACAGCCUUGGCCACCAUGUUUUCUGCUAUCUCGUUAUACAGGGCCAACAAUCUUCACGCCACACUCACCAACGCCCAGAAGGGUUCCCUCUCCGCCUCGGCGUACUUCGGGCAUAUGCGCUCCCUCUCCGAUGAGCUCGCGGCGGCGGGCAAACCACUCGGGGAGGGGGAGCUCAUCUCCUUCAUCAUCGCCGGCCUUGACAUGGACUACCAACCCAUCAUCUCUGCGCUGGACGUCCGCACCGAGCCCAUCACCGUUGACAUCCUCUUCUCUCUCGUGGCCAACUUUGAUCAACGGGUGGAGAUGUUUCAUGGCAAUGGCAAUGGUGGUUUCAAAUCAUCAGCCAACGCCGCAUCACGAGGUCGUGGUGGUGGCGGCAAAGGAGGCUACCGCAAGGGUGGAGGCUCUGGCGGGUCUCGCAGCGGCGACGGCUAUGGCGCCGACAGCGGUCAUGGCGCUGGUGGCGGCUACAACCAGGCAGGAGGUGGCGGUGGCUACAACCCUAACUCUGCUGGCUCUGGAGGGGGCUACAACAGCGGAGGUCAUCAAGGUGGUGGUAGCGGUGUAUACUAUCAUCAGAACCAGAACCAAGGAGGUGGCCACAGGAACAAUCGGUGCCCCCCCCAGCAACAACAACCGGGGGCGCCCCUUCCAAGGGUAUGA
rnacentral:rRNA from 1 species